rnacentral:rRNA from 1 species
CGUAACAAGGUUUCCGUAGGUGAACCUGCGGAAGGAUCAUUAAAAAUAUCCCUCACCCUGGGUGAAAGUCCGGGUGGACCAGCCUAAUGGGCUCUAAACACGUAAUGCCGGAGAUCCCGAAGGGUUCUCACAGUUGAGAGACGUUUUAAUAGGCCUGUGAGAAGACACCUCAUCGUACGCCCUCUACCUUACUGUAGGACACUACAGACCGAUGUUCCCCAGGACCUUCGUGUGCGAUCGUUCCGAUCCCGAAGGGUCUCACAGUGAAUCAUGCUGUGAGAAGUAUCCUUAUCGUACGGCAUGGCCUUGCUGUAGACAACUACAGACCGAUGUUUAUCAUGGACCUUCGUCUGCGAUCGUUCCGGUACUCGUUACUUCAAACCAUUGUGAACCUCCCCGUUGCUUCGGCGGCAUGCUUCGUGCUGUCAGCCCGUCCGAGGCCCACCGAAACCACUUCUGUAAACUUAUGUCAGUAUACGAAAAGUAAAUCGUUAAAACUUUCAACAACGGAUCUCUUGGUUCUCGCAUCGAUGAAGAACGCAGCGAAACGCGAUAGGUAAUGUGAAUUGCAGAAUUCAGUGAAUCAUCGAAUCUUUGAACGCACAUUGCGCCUCCUGGUAUUCCGGGGGGCAUGUCUGUUUGAGCGUCAGUACCCACUCUUUCGAAAAUUCUUUUUCGUCAGGUCUUGGAGGACACCUGUCCUCUCAAUGUAGACGCUUGCGAACCUGAUACCGAUCAUGACGUAGUAAUUUCAUUUCGUCUUGUCAAGUUGAAGGCCGCCUGAAUACCAAACUUUGUAGUUUGACCUCAGAUCAGACAAGGAUACCCGCUGAACUUAAGCAUAUCAAUAAGCGGAGGAAAAGAAACCAACAGGGAUUGCCUCAGUAACGGCGAGUGAAGCGGCAAGAGCUCAAAUUUGAAAUCUGAUACCUUCGGUGUCCGAGUUGUAAUUUGAAGAGGAUUCUUCGGUUUGGGUCGUGGCCUAUGUUCCUUGGAACAGGACGUCGUAGAGGGUGAGAAUCCCGUACACGGCUGACGACCUUUUACCAUGUGAAGUUCCUUCGAAGAGUCGAGUUGUUUGGGAAUGCAGCUCUAAAUGGGUGGUAAAUUUCAUCUAAAGCUAAAUACCGGCGAGAGACCGAUAGCGCACAAGUAGAGUGAUCGAAAGAUGAAAAGCACUUUGAAAAGAGAGUUAAACAGUACGUGAAAUUGUUGAAAGGGAAGCGCUUGCAAUCAGACUUGCCUUUGGUCGAUCAACGUUCCUUCUGGUUCGUGCACUCGGCCUUCGGCAGGCCAGCAUCGGUUCGGACGGUGGGAUAAAGGCUUCGGGAAUGUGGCUCUCUUCGGGGAGUGUUAUAGCCCGAGGUGCAAUGCCGCCUGACCGGACCGAGGACCGCGCUUCGGCUAGGAUGCUGGCGUAAUGGUUGUAAGCGACC